CAGGAGCCGCACGCGGCCCCCCUCCGCCUCGCUGCUGCGCCUGCGAGGCGAGCACGGUCCUCUGCCCCCUGCGGCAGGCUGGGGAGGGCUGAGGAAAGAAGGGGCCGCUCACUGCUUCGAAACGUUAAGAAGGAAGUCGGAAAACGUCCGAAGUAGCCCCCCGGUAAAACCCCCGUUCGUGGUGAUCCGGCGCCGUUGCCAGACGGGUGCUUAUUGUUAGAUUCCUGCCCCCCCCGGCCAGCUUUUGGGUUGCGUUUGCAGAAGCCCUUUAUUUGCAUAGAGAGGCCACCUGACUGAGGGUUAAGCUGUUUAAAAACUCUUAUCAGAUGCAAGAUCAAGAGGCAAGGUAACUGAAUUUGGCAGUGCCAGCGAACAGGCUGAUGGCGCCAUGUCUCACUAUACUCAAGAACACUGCUUUGCUUUUAUUUAUUUUUUAUUUUUAAACAUGUAUUUAAAAGGGCCAUAAGAAAUAAAAACCACCUCGUCAGCCUGGUCUUAGGAGGCAGGAAGCAGGUCAUGCUAUGACAGAGGUCAGCAGGAACACCUUAGAAAAAAAUCAACAUUAAUGACUGCUUCACUGGAGUUUCUCUCCGACAGUUUCCUCUUGCCUGUCUUGCAAGUUUGAACUUCAAGCAUAAAAGUGUCUCCAAAUAACUUCACUGGAACUUCCUGCUGACUGAACACUGAAGCAUCGAGCAUGGAAUCUGGAGAGCAGUCAUUUCCUUUUAUGAAUUCCUUCUUACUGAUACCGGUGCUUAUCUCACAGUAAACCAGGCAUAACCAGAUGAAGUAUUUACCCAAACUACCAGUUGCAUUGCCCCAGGCUUUGGUGUUCCCUACGAAGCACAGUAUGACAGUACCAAAUGAAGAAGCUGUGUGCAAGGCACAGACUGGCAUUGCAGCUGCUCCAGCCUGGCUUCUCCAGAGUUCCUUGCACUUCACAGGUAGCUGUCUUUCAAAUUUUUUAUAAAGCACUUGAGCACCCACUGGAGAGCAAAGCCAGCCUGUAAGAGGCUUUAAGUGACCUGAAGGCUCUCAGCAUUGACCACCUAGUGCUGAGUAAGACAUGCUGCAAGUUCAAACAUACCAACUGCUUUUCAUCAGCUCCAGGAUAAGCAUCAAGUUUGGGUGGGUACCUGCAACACUCGAGCACAUAAAAGUACAUCUGACAACAGCUGAAAUUCAGCAGCAGCAGAGGGGACUCCUCUUGUGAUCUCAGCACACUUCAGUUAGAUACCUAUUGACACAACAAGAGUUCUUCCGCUAAACCUCCACACUCCUUUUGCACCCACUUCUAGUGCACACCAAGCAGAUCCAAAUGUGGAAUACCUUAUCUUUUGCUUGGUGUGCUCUGUGCUUGCCCGCUUUGCUUGUUCUAGUUUUCCUGCAAAAGCUGAGGGAUGCAGGCCACAUGUGAAAGGCUAACAGCAGCCUAACAGAAGGAUUUAAGAAGCGAUGGGAUGGAAGCCAUCACUUGACACAACCUGUCAUACAAAAACUUCCAACUCAUCUUGAUAUGACAGUGUAGGACCCUUACUAUUUCCAGGAAACGAAUUUAUGUUCACUUUAGGUAAGCUUUAGUGAUUAGAGGUCACUACUUUGACACUCAUUUGAGAACUUAAAAGAAUCCGUGCAUCUCAAAUAGAACUGAUCAAUUCUGAAGUGCAACCGAAGGUUGGGGUGAGUAUCAGUUACUUGACUAACUUGUACAUGCAAGCCUUGGACAGGGCUACACUACCUGGAAAAGGCUAUGUCAGCACAGAAGGAAGGAGGAGCUGCUGUAGAGCUGAAUCCACCUUCCCAAACACCUGCACAGCUUUAGUUCCAUCCAAUACACUACAUAAAGAAAUGCCUUUGUUAUCAGACUGUCCCUUUUAUACAUAGCUCAGCAUUUUGUUUCCACUGAAAACAUCACAGUGCAAUCUUCACACCCAGCACAACACAAGGCAUCUGAGAAACAACUGCUGCACAGAUGUUUGUGAAUACAGAAAUCUCUGGUGAUUAGCUCACAUUCUCUAUCAAUUUCUGAUUGAGGUCUACAACAGUGGGCCCUAAAACAAAGGGAAAGUUUAAGCAUCAGCUUGAAGGCAAAGAUGAACACAGUAAGCUCUUGCAGUUUUCUACAUUCUGCUGUGUUUUUCAUUUAACAAGUAAAAACCAUGUCAAAGUUAUACUACCUGCUAUAUAGGUUGGGAAACAUUGGUUUCAAGAACCUAACUAAGAAGUCUAAGCCUGUGAAGCUAGUUGUAGAAGACCUCAGUAAGAAAAGUUGAUAUUUAGAACAUCACCCCUCUCCAGAAAACAAGCCUUAAGAAUGCUAAACUUAAAUCUGGUCUACUACUUCAUUUCAGGAUACUGUUUAAGAUCAUGUUAACAGAGCUAUACCAUACAGGAAAACCCAUUAGUGCUAACAAUCUAAUCUACAGUUGUCAGAAAUGUAGAAUUAACAAGCAGCACCCCAAUCCAUCAAGCACAAGCUCUGAGCAUCCUUCUGCCUCAUGCAAAGUCUCAGUUGAUUCUCCUGCCUUUCCUCAAGAACCUCAUUUCUCCCCCAAUAGUUCUCACUUCAAUAUAGCAACCAAAACCAGAAGACCCCACUUGCACAAGUCCUAAACUUUAGUGUAGCACAAUACUGCAACAGCUAAGAAAUCUGAUUUCUUGUGACACAUUUUCCUAGCCUGAAGUUCAUAAGAUUACUAACUUACUCUCCUGAAAUACUAAUGAACAGUUUCUCUACAGCUGGUAUAAAUCCACAGGAAGCAAAAAGAAUGAGUCACAGUACUCCAAUCAGUGGUGAAAGUUUAAUGUUCCUGCUACAUACUGCCUUUACGAAUUGCUAAACAAGAGAGUUGUUCAUCACAAAACCAUGCUGAGCACUGAAACAGUUUGUAUUUAACCAGUGCCAUAAGAACUGACACCUCAAUUUGUAUGAUUGUAUCCUUUUUGCUGCAGCCUGGAGAGCACAAGAACUGCUGAUUUAGUACUAGCAAACCAAUCUAGAGAGCAGCUUACCAAAAUCUGUCAUCCACAUGGAUUCACGGCUCUGGAUCUUGCAGGCUGCAAGUUAUCUUUAACAUCUACCAGCUCUCCUUUUCAAACACAGUAUCAUGUUGUAUAAGAUAACAAAUGAGAAAGUAGCUUCAAUACAAGCUACAUUUCAUAAGAACAGUGACUUCAGAAAUUUGUUGGACAACUUGUGACAGUGCUUCCUCUGUUCAGGAUACUGUUGCCAGAUGCUGUUAGCAAAAAUGGGCUAGAUCUAAGUAAGGACUUCAGAUACUUCUCAUGUCCAGAAAUGUGAACCCCAAAGCCCUGUGUUAGUUACUGACGGGGUCAUAACACGCCAUCAGUUUGGUCUCUGCAUGCCCUAAAGUUCAAGUUUUAACAAUAAGUGCUUGGUUUCAACUUAAUCCUGGGAGACAUUCACAGAAACCAAGUGAUACCCAAACACCUGGCAGGGUCAGCAUCUCAAAGGAUAAGCAUAUUCUGUCAGGAUUAACAUUAUCACAAGACCACAACCACAUCUACUUUAAGACAUGUACCAUAGUUAUGCUAACCUUUUAUUACUGUAUUUUUCUAUGCUGUGAUCUGUGUGUUAACCUAAAUAAACACUUAAGAACACAGCUUUGACAGUACUGUUUCAUAUACAGCUUUAGAUAACAAGGGCUCCUUUUCCCAAAUCCAUAGAUAUCUAGAAAGGAUAAAGAUGACACCUCGCAGGGAUUCUGAAAUUAUGCCCUGCAGUAUUCAAAACUUCAAGGAACACAAAGAAGAAAUCACUUUUGAGCACACUAAACCUACUUCCUCUCAGGUGUUUGCAGAUUAAGGGCACUUGCGAUACACUUCAUUAUGUCUUACCUACCUUCUAAGCAAGAGACUUACUGGAGAAACUUCAUCCACAACCCCAUCCUUACAUGGCUGUUGACUCCUGCUUGUCCUGCUUUUUUUCAAUGCUUUAACCCUUCAUAGCUACCUCAGUAUAUCAGUGGCAAGGAACAGAGUAGCUACCGCAGAAAUAGGCGCAUGGUUAGCUGGGACUUCUUCAUGGUCCUGUGAGGACCUUCUCAUCCCCCCCAAAAGUUGCCUACAUACUUAUUUAGAAAAUCAGAAUUUCUACAAUUAGGUAAAGAACAAGAUUGUAGAGUACAAUAGCAUCCUGCUGACUGG